GAAGCAUAAACUAUGGAGGUUCAAACCCAGCUUAACCACCUCCUAGCUCUAUGAUCUCGGCACCCGCAGCCAACAUGCCAUCACCUUGACCUCGAAGACGGGUGACCGCAUGAUUUAUCCACAGCACCGGGGUAAAUUCUGAGAGCGAAAUGGGUUGCCGUAAUUACUUACACCUGGGUAAUGGGCCUGCACCAGAAUUGUCCCAGGC
rnacentral:lncRNA from 1 species